rnacentral:lncRNA from 1 species
AUUUGAUAUUCCUUUUCUGCGAAACACUGAAAUAGGCAAAAAACAGAAACUGGCACUGGGCUCUAGGUUAAUAGGUUAGUCCCAAAAACCAUAUAAAAGUGCUUAGUAAAGCCCAUUAAACAUCCAAAACAGAUAAUAUAAUAGCAUGGAACAAUAAAAAAUUAUAGAUAUGUUGGAGACGUAUCAGCAUCCCCAAGCUUAAUUCCUGCUCGUCCUCGAGUAGGUAAAUGAUAAAAACAGAAUUUUUGAUGUGGAAUGCCACCUAACAUAUUUAUCAAUGUAAUCUUCUUUAUCGUGGCAAGAAUAUUCAGAUCCAUAAGAUUCAAAACAAAAGUUUAAUAUUGACAUGAAAACAAUAAUACUUCAAGCAUACUAACAGAGCAAUCAUGUCUUCUCGAAAUAACAUGGCCAAAGCAAGCUAUCCCUUCAAAAUCAUAUAGUCUGGCUAUGCUCUAUCUUCAUCACACAAAAUAUUUAAAUCAUGUACAACCCCGAUGACAAGCCAAGCAAUUGUUUCAUACUUUUGAUGUUCUCAAACUUUUUCAAUCUUCACGCAAUACAUGAGCGUGAGUCAUGGACAUAGCACUAUAGGUGGAAUAGAAUGGUGGUUGUGGAGAAGACAAAAAAGGAGAAGAUAGUCUCACAUCAACUAGGCGUAUCAACGUGCUAUGGAGAUGCCCAUCAAUAGAUAUCAAUGUGAGUGAGUAGGGAUUGCCAUGCAACGGAUGCACUAGAGCUAUAAGUGUAUGAAAGCUCAACAAAAGAAAUUAAGUGGGUGUGCAUCCAACUCGCUUGCUCACGAAGACCUAGGGCAUUUUGAGGAAGCCCAUCAUUGGAAUAUACAAGUCAAGUUCUAUAAUGUAAAAUUCCCACUAGUAUAUGAAAGUGACAACAUAGGAGACUCUCUAUCAUGAAGAUCAUGGUAUUUUAUUCAAACAGCAAGCAAAACAAAAUAAAAUAAAAUGACGCUCCAAGCAAAACACAUAUCAUGUGGUGAAUAAAAAUAUAGCUCCAAGUAAAUUUACCAAUGGAUGAGGACGAAAGAGGGGAUGCCUUCCGGGGCAUCCCCGAGAUUUUGCUUUUUGGUGUCCUUGGAUUUACCUUGGGGUGCCUUGGGCAUCCCCAAGUUUAGGCUCUUGCCACUCCUUAUUCCAUAGUCCAUCGAAUCUUUACCCAAAACUUGAAAACUUCACAACACAAAACUUAACAGAAAACUCGUAAGCUCCGUUAGCGGAAGAAAACAAAACACCACUUCAAGGUACUGUAUUGAACUCAUUCUUUAUUUAUAUUGGUGUUAAACUUACUGUAUUCCAACUUCUCUAUGGUUUAUAAGCUCUUUUACUAGCCAUAGAUUCAUCAAAAUAAGCAAACAACACACUAAAAACAGAAUAUGUUAAAAACAGAACAGUCUGUAGUAAUCUGUAACUAAGGCAAACUUCUGGAACUCUAAAAAUUCUGCGAAAAUAGGACGACCUAAAUAAUUUGUUUAUUGAUCUGCUGCAAUUGGAAUAAGUAUCAUAUCAUGUUCUGGUAAUUUUUAACAAUUGUUUUUGUGAACAGAAAGUUUCUGGAAUUUUCAGCAAGAUCAAAUAACUGUUAUCCAAGAAGGUCCUAUAGGUUUAACUUGGCACAAACACUAAUUAAAACAUAAAAACACAUCUAACCAGAGGCUAGAUAGAUUAUUUAUUACUAAACAGAACCAAAAGGCAAGAAACUAAAAUAAAAUUGGGUUGCCUCCCAGCAAGCGCUAUCGUUUAACGCCCCUAGCUAGGCAUGAUGAUUUCAAUGAUGCUCACAUAAGACAUAAGAAUUGUAACAUAAAGAGAGCAUCAUGAAGAAUAUGACUAGCACAUUUAAGUAUAACCCACUUCCUAUGCAUAGGGAUUUUGUGAGCAAACAACUUAUGGGAACAAUAAUCAACUAGCAUAGGAAGGCAAAACAAGCAUAACUUCAAAACUUUAAGCACAUAGAGAGGAAACUUGAUAUGAUUGCAAUUCCUACAAGCAUAUAUUCCUCUCUCAUAAUAAUUUUCAGUAGCAUCAUGAAUGAAUUCAACAAUAUAAUCAGCACCUAAAACAUUCUUUUCAUGAUCUACAAGUAUGGAAUUUUUACUACUCUCCACAUAAGCAAAAUUCUUCUCAUUCGGAAUAGUGGGAGUAUCAUAAGAAACUCGAAUACUAUAAACUGUUUCCACAUUAAAAGAGUAAUAUUCAAAAAAAGGGUAAUCAUAAUCAUGACAAGUUGUAUAAAUAUAAUCAUCACUAUUUUUUAUAGCAUAAGUUCCAUCACAAUAAUCAUCAUAAGUAGCAACUUUGUUCUCAUCAUAAUCAAUUGAAACCUCUUCCAAGAUAGUGGAAUCAUUAGUAAAUAAAGUCAUGGCCUCUCCAAAUCCACUUUCAUAAUUAUCAUAAUAAGAUUCAACAUCCUCCAAAAUCGUGGGAUCAUUACAUCCUAAAGUUGACACUCUUCCAAACCCACUUUCAUCAAUAUAAUCAUCAUAAGUAGGAGGCAUGUUGUCAUCAUUAUAAAUUUGCAUAUCAAAACUUGGGAGACUAAAAAUAUCAUCUUCAUUAAACGUAGCAUCCCCAAGCUUGGGACAAACAUUAAUUGCAGCAAAUAUAUUCUCAAAAACAUCAUCUUCAUCAAACAUAGCAUCCCCAAGUUUGGGCCUUUUCAUAUCACAAGCAUAAUCACUCUCAUCAUUAAUAGUAUGGAUAGCACCAAUAGUAUAGCAAUUAUCAUCAUCACAAUGAGUAAUAGGAGCAACAUAAUUUGGGAGAGAUACCUUUCUACCUUUGCUUCUCCUUCUUUUCUUUUUCUUCUUCACAUCAUGUGUGGGUUCAAUCCUCUUUUUGAAACUCCUUUUUAAUGAGAUUGGUUGAAUAGAAGGCUCCUCCUCGUUACCUGAUUCAUCAUAAGAAAUAACAGGAGGAUAUUGGGAAGUCUCUUCCCUUUCAUCAGUAUUCUCUUCAUCUUUUAUUUGUUUUCUUUUCUUUAUGUAAUUGGCAAUAUAAGGAUUUUCAAUGCAAUUCACCACACAAUACAUAUAAAUUUCUUCUAGAUCAAUAUCGAGGAAUUUCUCAAGGUUAUAUUCUGGAAUACCCUCAGUUGCACGUUUCAUUUCUUCAUAACCCAAAAGCAAACUAAGUUCAUUAUGAUGUGCAAAGGAAAUCAAGUCAUCACAAUUUUUGGACACGAUCCGAUCAUGAAACAAUUUGCAUUGGGUACUGAAAUGAUCACGUUCAUUGCAAAGUUCACAAGUACGGCUAAGAAAGUUUAAAUUUUCAGCACAAACAUCUAGCCUUUCUUGCAAUCAUUUAGUUUCCAAAUACUUAUGCCUCUUGCAAAAUCUAUUUUCCCUAAUUGGUGUGUACUUGCAAGCUCUAUGCACUCCGCAAAAAUCAACAUGCUUAUAAGAGACAUUCUCAUCAUGACUAGUGCAAUCAUCAUUAGUACUAUGGAUAUUCAAAGAGUUCAUACUAACAACAUUGCAAUCAUGCUCAUCAUUCAAAGAUUUAGUGCCAAACAUUUUAAUGCAUUUUUCUUCUAACACUUCGGCACAAUUUUCCUUUCCAUCACUCUCACGAAAGAUAUUAAAAAGAUGAAGCGUAUGAGGCAAACUCAAUUCCAUUUUUUUGUAGUUUUCUUUUAUAGACUAAACUAGUGAUAAAAUAAGAAACAAAAAUAUUCGAUUGCAAGAUCUAAAGAUAUACCUUCAAGCACUCACCUCCCCGGCAACGGCGCCAGAAAAGAGCUUGAUGUCUACUACGCAACUUUCUUCUUGUAGACGUUGUUGGGCCUCCAAGUGCAGAGGUUUGUAGGACAGUAGCAAAUUUCUCUCAAGUGGAUGACCUAAGUUUAUCAAUCCGUGGGAGGCGUAGGAUGAAGAUGGUCUCUCGCAAACAACCCUGCAACCAAAUAACAAAGAGUCUCUUGUGUCCCCAACACACGCAAUACAAUGGUAAAUUAUAUAGGUGCACUAGUUCGGCGAAGAGAUGGUGAUACAAGUGCAAUAUGGAUGAUAGAUAUAGGUUUUUGUAAUCUGAAAAUAUAAAAACAGCAAGGUAACAAGUAAUAAAAGUGAGCACAAACGGUAUUGCAAUGCGUUGAAACAAGGCCUAGGGUUCAUACUUUCACUAGUGCAAGUUCUCUCAACAAUAAUAACAUAAUUGGAUCAUAUAACAAUCCCUCAACAUGCAACAAAGAGCCACUCCAAAGUCACUAAUAGCGGAGAACAAACGAAGAGAUUAUUGUAGGGUACAAAACCACCUCAAAGUUAUCCUUUCUGAUCGAUCUAUUUAAGAGUCUGUAGUAAAAUAACACGAAGCUAUUCUUUCUAUUUGAUCUAUCAUAGAGUUCGUACUAGAAUAAUACCUUAAGACACAAAUCAACCAAAACCUUAAUGUCACCUAGAUACUCCAAUGUCAGCUCAAGUAUCCGUGGCUAUGAUUAUACGAUAUGCAUCAAACAAUCUCAGAUUCAUUUAUUCAACCAACACAUAGAACUUCAAAGAGUGCCCCAAAGUUUCUACCGGAGAGUCAAGACGAAAGCGUGUACCAACCCCUAUGCAUAAGUUCACGAGCGGAACCCGCAAGUUUACCACCAAAACAUACAUCAAGUGGAUCACGUGAAUAUCCCAUUGUCACCACAGAUAAGCACGACAAGACAUAUAUCAAGUGUUCUCAAAUCCCUAAAGACUCAAUCCGACAAGACAACUUCAAGGGGAAAACUCAAUCCGUUACAAGAGAGUAGAGGGGGAGAAACACCAUAAGAUCCAACUAAAAUAACAAAGCUCGCGAUACAUCAAGAUCUUACCAUCUCAAGAACACGAGAGAGAGAGAGAGAACGAUCAAACACAUAGCUACUGGUACAUACCCUCAGCCCCGAGGGUGAACUACUCCCUCCUCGUCAUGGAGAGCGCCGAGAUGAUGAAGAUGGCCACCGGUGAGGGAUUCCCCCUCCGGCAGGGUGCCGGAACAGGGUCCCGAUUGGUUUUUGGUGGCUACAGAGGCUUGCGGCGGUGGAACUCCCGAUCUAUUCUGUUCCCCGAAGUUUUUAGGGUAUAUAUAUAUAUAUGCGAAAGAAGACGGUCAGGGGAGCCACGAGGGGCCCACGAGGGUGCGGGCACGCCAGGGGGGCAGGCGCGCCUCCCUGCCUCGUGGCCACCUCGAAGCUUCCCUGACGUGUACUCCAAGUCUCCUGGAUUGCUUUCGUUCCAAAAAUAACUCUCCCGAAGGUUUCAUUCCUUUUGGACUCCGUUUGAUAUUCCUUUUCUGCGAAACACUGAAAUAGGCAAAAAAACAGAAACUGGCACUGGGCUCUAGGUUAAUAGGUUAGUCCCAAAAAUCAUAUAAAAGUGCUUAGUAAAGCCCAUUAAACAUCCAAAACAAAUAAUAUAAUAGCAUGGAACAAUCAAAAAUUAUAGAUAUGUUGGAGACGUAUCAAAAUGUACCCAGCAAGACUUACAUCAGAACUAGCUACAUAUGCAUCAGUAUCAACAAAGGGGGUGGUGGAGUUUAACUGCAGCAAGCCAGCUUUGACUCGGUGGCUAUCCUGAACUACGACUGCAAGUAACUCUUUUGAGGUGGCGCACACGAGUCCACAUGUUUACCAUAUCAAUACACCACUAUGGAUCCGCUCCUGUCACCCUACGAGAAGGCCAUCCAUAGCACUCACGCUUAUCUUGCGCAUUUUAGAGUAUCCACUUUCACUUGUCUAUGAACUGUAUAGGCAACCCAGAGGUCCUUUACCG